CAAAAUACUACAAUCUGUACUUUACUAAGAAAGUGUAAUCCCAAAUAUAACAUAUGUCACAUUCCUGGAACAAGUUGAAAAAAUGGACAUAAUUGAAUUUUUUCUCCAUGCCUUAUUAAAAUUAGCUCUAUAACAGAAGCACGUUUAAAAACAUACACGUAUCAGUCAUGUUAUGUACAAUGUUGUUCAUGUUAUAUACAUUCUGAACCAUGUUAUAUACAUGUGCCAAUCAUGCUGCAUACGCGUUCCAGUGAUGCUAUAUGCAUAUGUCAAUCAUGUUAUUUACAAGUUUAUGAACACGUGUCAGUCAUGUUUGAUGUGAAUGUGAGCGUGUUUGUUGGUAUGUGUUAUAUACAAUCAGCUACCCCAUGUCAGGCACAUGACCCUUUAGAUACACAUAUUUUUAUUAUGCGUUGAUUUACACUUGCUAUUUUUGUACAUGUCCUGCGUGUCCUUUGAACAGUCAAACCCCGUUAAACCGGACUGUGAUGUGAUGAAAACCUCACGAAUGUUUUCAGUUGUAAGCAAGCAUACUUGUAAUGGUUUAAAGUUAGAAAUAUGAAAGAGACAUGGAAAAUAAUAUCCGGAAAAUCCUGAUCUAGCUGAAAAUUCGGCAACAGUCAAGAUUCGGAAUAGUAAUAAAACCCGGAAAAGUGAGAUCAGGACAAAAAGAUUCCGGAAUUGUAUGUACAGUAAGCUGGAUACGCUGAAUUAGGCCAUCCGGAAUAUUUGAAUUCUAGAAUUAAGAGGUCUAAGCAAUUAAAAUACGGAAUAGACAGGUUCGGACAACAAUAUACGGAGCAAAGUGUUUCAGACAGCUAAAGUCCGGACUAACGAGGUUUUGCUGUGUGAAAUGUUCUACACAUCUUUUGUAAUGGAAAGCUUAUAAUCUGGUCAAAAUCUGUGUCAGACUCUUUGUAAUUUGAAGAUAGAAACCUUUUCUACUAAAUAAUUAAAUGUCUGGCUCAGAUCAACUGUACGAUCACAUUUCACUUCCAGAGAAAUGUGUCUGAGAAACCCUUGUCCAUUGUUCUUCAAUACAAAGUCCCUGGAGGAAAGUACUUUCUCCUCCAAACAAUGCCAUGAAUCCAUAUACAUUCACCUAUCACAGGACCAACAACUGCUGGCAAUGAUGUAUAACACGAAACCAUCAGACAGGUCCACCAAAGAACAUUAGAUAAGGUCAUGUUCUUUCUGUGCUUGGUUCUUAAUUUCCAUUAGCUGGAAAACAUUCACGACAGCGUGCUAUGGCAUUGUUCAAUUAAAUUACAACAUUUCAGAUACGACGUGUUUAGAAUUAAUUUAUAAUUCGUCAUCACAAGUUCACAAUCCCAAUUUGUUGCAAGCAUGGUACAAAAAUGUGAUUUGCAGGUUAACACUGGUAUUUAAAAAUAUAAACGCUUGCUUUUCGCUUUACAAACGCCUUAAAACUAAAAAGGGAUUUGUAAAAUCGCUUUAAAUGACUCCAUAUUGUGAUACUAAUUUUUCUCAUCUCAGAAUGAUAUCUUUUGCCAGAAAAAAGCUUCCGAGUGCGUUAUAUUGGGUAUUAUAUGCAAGUCAUGCAAGUAAAUGGUAUUGGAACUGACUGUGAAGGUUCUUCUUCAAAGGUGUGACUUCAUGUUAUGUACUAGACUACAUUAUACAAUUUUAACUUUAUUCAUUAUUAUACAAAAUUUAUUAAAUCUACUCAGUAUGUUCAAUAUUAUUAUACAUAAACAUUCUUUAUGCUUUUUUAUACCCCAUAUCUCUCGGAGAUAUAUUUUAUACGUAUAUUUGGGGAAAUCUUUGUAUUUUUCUAUACUAUUCAGUGGAAUUUGACCAAAAACAUAAGUAGUCUUCACUUGGAAGUUCUGCAUUGUUAAAAACAGGCUAUUAUUCAACUUAUCAUCAACAUUAAAAAGCAUUGUAAACCUGAGUGUAGUAUAUGGCAUUAUGGUGUGUUAAUUAGAAUAAGAUAAUGGCUUUAUUACAUUUGUUGAUCAGUGUCAUUGUUAGGAUUUGGGGAAUGAAAUCGUAAAUGUGCAUGAUUGCUAGUGCCCUCCUAAAAGAGCAAAUUCUUAAGAAAUUAAUGAAGUCUCCCUCAAGUAUUUGGCGAAUAACAGAUAGUUACGUGUCACAACCCCCCUUGGUUUAUAAUAUCUUACCGAAGUGCCAAAGUACUGUAAGUAUUUAAUGAAACAGCUGAACACAGAAAAGGUAUUUGUUAAAGUCUUCCAAAGAAAACACAAUUGAGCACAACAGCAACAUAAACAUGACAGUCUUUGAUAUUUCAAAUUUUGAUGAAGUCAUAGAGCUGUGCAAUAGGAUUAGUGCCAACGUUCUUUUGUAUUUGGCAGAUAGUCAAGAACAACAUAGAUAUAAUGUAAAAUGCCACUUUUAAGACACAAGGCUUGGUGUAAUUGUUUAGCACAAUAGUAUGAUAACUGUCAAAGUGUUUCUAUUUCUAUGGUGAAACGCUUAUGCACAAACGUACGAAAAAUUACAAAGUUUGCCUUUACAAAUAAGGCCUUAGUAAAGUCAUUGAGCAGAACAUCACAAUGUAUGGCAAAGUGUUUCUUAAAGAAUAAAGGCUUGGUGAUAUCAUUGAGUACAAUAUUAAAGUAAACGUCAUUUUCCCUUUUCGAAAAAAUACUUUGUUAGGUUACAGAGCACAACAAUAAUACAAAUGUCAUCGUUCUAAUUUAAGGAUAAUACCUUGCUGAUGUCAUUGAGCACAACAAUAAGAUAACUUACAAAGUUCUCCUUACGAUCUAAAUCUUAUUGAAGUAAUUGAGCAGACAUUAAGUUUCACCUUUAAGAAUAUAGCCUUGGUGACGUCAUAGGGCACACUGCUAUACAUGUCAAAGUUCCCUUUUAAGAAUGAAACCUUGGCGAAGUCAUUGAUGACAAUACGUUUAUAUAUGUCAAAGGUCCCUUUUAAAAUUGACAUCUUGGUGAUGUCAUUGAGCACAAUACGUUUGUAUAUUUCAAAGUUCCCUUUUAAGGUUAAAACUUUGGUCAAGUCAUUGAGCACAACGCGUUUAUUUAUGUCAAAGUUUUAAGAAUGAAACCUUGGCGAAGUCAUUGAUUACAACACGUUUAUGUAUGUCAAAGGUCCCUUUUAAAAUUGACAUUUUGGUGAUGUCAUUGAGCACAACAUGUUUUUAUAUGUCAAGGUUCCCCUUUAAGAAUGACAUCUUGAUGAUGUCAUUGAGGACAAUACGUUUGUAUAUUUAAUUUUUCCACUUUAAGAAUAAAACUUUGGUGAAGUCAUUGAGCACAACUCCUAUAUAUGUCAAAGCUCCCCUGUAAGAAUGAAACCUUGGAGAAGUCAUUGAGCACUCCAGUAAGAUACCUGUCUCCUUCCAUGUCUCCAGGUCCACUGCCACUCCUACCGAUACCCUCAUUUCAACGCUCAAAGUGGCUGUAUGCGUAUUUAUAUUUUUGUGGAAUCGUUUUGAUAACAAUAAAGCUAUUUGAAUCACA